rnacentral:lncRNA from 1 species
GAGCCACAUCCCCAGCCCCUGAUAUGAAUCUUGAAGGAUGAUUCAGAUCACAGAUCUGGAGAAGAGGGAGAAAAGAUUUACUGGUAGAGGAUCAGUAUAAGAGAGCAGAACAAGAAAUGCCUGGGACUCCUGUUGAGAACCAGAAAAAGCAUUUAAAAAUGCAAAACCCCAACUGUGGUGGCACAUGCUUGUAAUCCUCGGGAGACUGAGGCAGUAGGAUCUUGAGUUCAAAGCCACCCUCAGCA